GUCUGUAGCCAUAUCACUCUGCACCUCAUAACUGAAAACCCACUUAAGCUAAGCAGGUGUGAGCCUGGUCAGUACCUGGAUGGGAGACCUCCUGUGAAAAACUAUGGUUGCUGCUGGAA
ensembl:rRNA 5S_rRNA 5S ribosomal RNA